rnacentral:rRNA from 1 species
CUACCAAGACAGUGACGGUUGACGGGGAAUCAGGGUUUGAUACCGGAGAGGGAGCCUGAGAGAUGGCUCCCACGUCCAUGGACGGCAGCAGGCGCGAAAAUUGCCCACUCUUUGUAGGAGGCAGUUAUGAGACGUGAAAUUGAAUAUUUUGUAAAGAAGAAUAGGAGAAUUGGAGGGCAAGUUUGGUGCCAGCCGCCGCGGUAAUACCGACUCCAAGAGUGUGUAUGAGAGAUGCUGCAGUUAAAAAGUCCGUAGUCAUAGAAAGAUAAAUAGGGAUAAGAAAUCUCUUAAAUUAGUUAUAGAAAAACCGAUGGGGAACAUAGUAUACCAGGGCGAGAGAUGAAAUGCCAAGACCCCUGGUGGACUAAGCGAGGCGAAAGCGAUGUUCUUGUAGGUAUUUGAUGAUCAAGGACGAAGGCUGGAGUAUCGAAAGUGAUUAGAUACCGCAGUAGUUCCAGCAGUAAAAGAUGCC